rnacentral:rRNA from 1 species
GAUGAACGCUGGCGGCGUGCCUAAUACAUGCAAGUCGAGCGAACGGACGAGAAGCUUGCCUCUCUGAUGUUAGCGGCGGACGGGUGAGUAACACGUGGAUAACCUACCUAUAAGACUGGGAUAACUUCGGGAAACCGGAGCUAAUACCGGAUGAUAUUUUGAACCGCAUGGUUCAAAAGUGAAAGACGGUCUUGCUGUCACUUAUAGAUGGAUCCGCGCUGCAUUAGCUAGUUGGUAAGGUAACGGCUUAUCAAGGCAACGAUGCAUAGCCGACCUGAGAGGGUGAUCGGCCACACUGGAACUGAGACACGGUCCAGACUCCUACGGGAGGCAGCAGUAGGGAAUCUUCCGCAAUGGGCGAAAGCCUGACGGAGCAACGCCGCGUGAGUGAUGAAGGUCUUCGGAUCGUAAAACUCUGUUAUUAGGGAAGAACAUAUGUGUAAGUAACUGUGCACAUCUUGACGGUACCUAAUCAGAAAGCCACGGCUAACUACGUG